rnacentral:rRNA from 1 species
GAUGAACGCUGGCGGCGUGCCUAAUACAUGCAAGUCGAGCGAACGGACGAGAAGCUUGCUUCUCUGAUGUUAGCGGCGGACGGGUGAGUAACACGUGGAUAACCUACCUAUAAGACUGGGAUAACUUCGGGAAACCGGAGCUAAUACCGGAUGAUAUUUUGAACCGCAUGGUUCAAAAGUGAAAGACGGUCUUGCUGUCACUUAUAGAUGGAUCCGCGCUGCAUUAGCUAGUUGGUAAGGUAACGGCUUACCAAGGCAACGAUGCAUAGCCGACCUGAGAGGGUGAUCGGCCACACUGGAACUGAGACACGGUCCAGACUCCUACGGGAGGCAGCAGUAGGGAAUCUUCCGCAAUGGGCGAAAGCCUGACGGAGCAACGCCGCGUGAGUGAUGAAGGUCUUCGGAUCGUAAAACUCUGUUAUUAGGGAAGAACAUAUGUGUAAGUAACUGUGCACAUCUUGACGGUACCUAAUCAGAAAGCCACGGCUAACUACGUGCCAGCAGCCGCGGUAAUACGUAGGUGGCAAGCGUUAUCCCGAAUUAUUGGGCGUAAAGCGCGCGUAGGCGGUUUUUUAAGUCUGAUGUGAAAGCCCACGGCUCAACCGUGGAGGGUCAUCGGAAACUGGAAAACUUGAGUGCAGAAGAGGAAAGUGGAAUUCCAUGUGUAGCGGUGAAAUGCGCAGAGAUAUGGAGGAACACCAGUGGCGAAGGCGACUUUCUGGUCUGUAACUGACGCUGAUGUGCGAAAGCGUGGGGAUCAAACAGGAUUAGAUACCCUGGUAGUCCACGCCGUAAACGAUGAGUGCUAAGUGUUAGGGGGUUUCCGCCCCUUAGUGCUGCAGCUAACGCAUUAAGCACUCCGCCUGGGGAGUACGACCGCAAGGUUGAAACUCAAAGGAAUUGACGGGGACCCGCACAAGCGGUGGAGCAUGUGGUUUAAUUCGAAGCAACGCGAAGAACCUUACCAAAUCUUGACAUCCUUUGACAACUCUAGAGAUAGAGCCUUCCCCUUCGGGGGACAAAGUGACAGGUGGUGCAUGGUUGUCGUCAGCUCGUGUCGUGAGAUGUUGGGUUAAGUCCCGCAACGAGCGCAACCCUUAAGCUUAGUUGCCAUCAUUAAGUUGGGCACUCUAAGUUGACUGCCGGUGACAAACCGGAGGAAGGUGGGGAUGACGUCAAAUCAUCAUGCCCCUUAUGAUUUGGGCUACACACGUGCUACAAUGGACAAUACAAAGGGCAGCGAAACCGCGAGGUCAAGCAAAUCCCAUAAAGUUGUUCUCAGUUCGGAUUGUAGUCUGCAACUCGACUACAUGAAGCUGGAAUCGCUAGUAAUCGUAGAUCAGCAUGCUACGGUGAAUACGUUCCCGGGUCU